GAAGAGGUGGCUCAGCGGUUAAGAGCACUGGCUUCUCUUCCAGAGAUCCUGAGUUCAAUUCCCAGCACCUACA
rnacentral:tRNA from 1 species